rnacentral:rRNA from 1 species
UACGAAGGCCUCAAGCGUUACUCGGAUUUACUGGGCUUAAAGGGCGUGUAGGCGGAUGGGCAGGUGCCCUGUGAAAUCCCGGAGCUCAACUCCGGAAGUGCAGGGUAGACCACUCAUCUUGAGGCGAGUAGGGGCAGCUGGAACUCUAGGUGGAGCGGUGAAAUGCUUAGAUAUCUAGGGGAACGCCAAUGGCGAAAGCAGGCUGCUGGGCUCGUCCUGACGCUGAGGCGCGAAAGCGUGGGGAGCAAACGGG